rnacentral:lncRNA from 1 species
AGCAAAAAUAUCAGAUCGGCUGCACAGAAAAAAUGGCUCAAAGUGCUUAAUGACCAGAAGAAAUCUAGGAGCAGCAAGAAGGUGUGGGGCUGGGUAUGGUCAUUCCUGCUGGAUGUCUAGAAGGUGAAAAACAAGGACCUAGGAAAAUACCAGAUACAGCAUUUCCACCGUCAUCCAGAGCAGGACAAACACGCCAGGUGGUGUCAGGAGCCUAGGUCUCCAGCUGGAGGGAACGUCAACCCUGCAGUGGGAGCCCAUCAUGCAUCCUAGGCACAGAUGCUAAUGUAGGCACCGCAGCCAUUUUGCACACCCUGGUCAGAAUGAAACAUUCCUUGGGAACUUGGGCCAUGAGAAGCAUCCUUCCUGAUCACCUGACUGUAGAAACAUCCUUAUCGCACCCUCCCGGGCAAAGGCCCAACAGCCUGACUGCAGGAACAUCCUUGCCAUAUCCUGCUGGGCAGCAAGCUCUACCGCCCAGACCCCUCCUUCCCAGUCCCAUGAUCACCCCAGCCUGU